rnacentral:piRNA from 1 species
UCAAAUAAUUGAUCUAAAUACGCAGUAGC